CCCUUAGAUGUCCUGGGCCGCGCGCGCUACACUGACAUGUUCAACAAGCCUCCUAGUUCGACAGGAUUUGGGAAAUCUUUGAACGCAUGUCGUGAUAGGGAUAGAUCAUUGCAAUUAUUGAUCUUGAACGAGGAAUUCCUAGUAAACGCGAGUCAUCAGCUCGCAUUGAUUACGUCCCUGCCCUUUGUACACACCGCCCGUCGCACCUACCGAUUGAAUGUUUCGGUGAAGAUUCCGGAUAGGACUUUUUUGAUUUAUUUCAAUUUUGUCUUAAAAGCUAUCUAAACCUCAACAUUUAGAGGAAGGUGAAGUCGUAACA
rnacentral:rRNA from 1 species